GCUUAACACAUGCAAGUCGAACGGUGAAGGAGAGCUUGCUCUUUGGAUCAGUGGCGAACGGGUGAGUAACACGUGAGCAAUCUGCCCCUGACUCUGGGAUAACAGUUGGAAACAGCUGCUAAUACCGGAUAUGAGACGUGACCGCAUGGUCGACGUUUGGAAAGAAUUUCGGUCAGGGAUGAGCUCGCGGCCUAUCAGCUUGUUGGUGAGGUAAUGGCUCACCAAGGCGUCGACGGGUAGCCGGCCUGAGAGGGUGACCGGCCACACUGGGACUGAGACACGGCCCAGACUCCUACGGGAGGCAGCAGUGGGGAAUAUUGCACAAUGGGCGAAAGCCUGAUGCAGCAACGCCGCGUGAGGGACGACGGCCUUCGGGUUGUAAACCUCUUUUAGCAGGGAAGAAGCGAAAGUGACGGUACCUGCAGAAAAAGCGCCGGCUAACUACGUGCCAGCAGCCGCGGUAAUACGUAGGGCGCAAGCGUUAUCCGGAAUUAUUGGGCGUAAAGAGCUCGUAGGCGGUUUGUCGCGUCUGCUGUGAAAACUGGAGGCUCAACCUCCAGCCUGCAGUGGGUACGGGCAGACUAGAGUGCGGUAGGGGAGAUUGGAAUUCCUGGUGUAGCGGUGGAAUGCGCAGAUAUCAGGAGGAACACCGAUGGCGAAGGCAGAUCUCUGGGCCGUAACUGACGCUGAGGAGCGAAAGGGUGGGGAGCAAACAGGCUUAGAUACCCUGGUAGUCCACCCCGUAAACGUUGGGAACUAGUUGUGGGGUCCAUUCC
rnacentral:rRNA from 1 species